GAUGAACGCUGGCGGCGUGCCUAAUACAUGCAAGUCGAACGAAACUUCUUUAUCACCGAGUGCUUGCACUCACCGAUAAAGAGUUGAGUGGCGAACGGGUGAGUAACACGUGGGCAACCUGCCCAAAAGAGGGGGAUAACACUUGGAAACAGGUGCUAAUACCGCAUAACCAUAGUUACCGCAUGGUAACUAUGUAAAAGGUGGCUAUACUACCGUUUUUGGAUGGGCCCGCGGCGCAUUAGCUAGUUGGUAGGGUAAAGGCUUACCAAGGCAAUGAUGCGUAGCCGAAUUGAGAGGUUGAUCGGCCACAUUGGGACUGAGACACGGCCCAAACUCCUACGGGAGGCAGCAGUAGGGAAUCUUCCACAAUGGGCGAAAGCCUGAUGGAGCAACGCCGCGUGGGUGAAGAAGGUCUUCGGAUCGUAAAACCCUGUUGUUAGAGAAGAAAGUGCGUGAGAGUAACUGUUCACGUUUCGACGGUAUCUAACCAGAAAGCCACGGCUAACUACGUG
rnacentral:rRNA from 1 species